UUUUUCUUCUUUUCUUCGACAGCAGGGGCAGUUGCAGCGGCACCUGUAGCACCGCCAGUAGGAGCGCAACUGCAACGAGAGCAGCAACUACAACGACCUGUGAUUUUGAAGGUGCGAGGGGCGGCGAGAUGGUAGUCACAGCAGCGACAGUCAAUUAGGGAGUGAAGGGAGUUGGGUGUUAAGGAUUCAAGUUUAGGUUUUUUAAAUUAGCAUUGUAAUUGAAUAAAAUUGAGAUAGCAAACCUCGGGUAGCAAAACGAGAGGUAGCAAGGCCGAAAAUUACAGAUGGAAGGCGUGGAGAUGGUGACUGCGGCGGCGGCGUAGCGACGGAGGCGGCGCUGCAUGUGCAGCCUCGCCGUGCGCGCUGAGUGAUAGAAGGGGGUAGACAGGGAGCGAGAGGUGAGACGGAGGAGAUGCCUGUGGCGUAGGUGGUCGAAGACGGCGCCCUUCGCCGGAGGAGGAAGCGGUAGGGGAUGUGUGUGCGUAUCUGUGAGAUUGAGAGAGAGUGAGAGUA
rnacentral:lncRNA from 1 species